CUGUGACAUACCUAUAAUUUGCCUCUUGCAGACUCAACGACGGUGCUCCGAGAAACGGGCGCCGCUCGCUGCCAGAGGAACCCCAAACUCUAUGUAUUCUUGUGGAUCUUCUGAGUAAAACAAAACAAAUAAAUCAAAACUUUCAACAACGGAUCUCUUGGUUCUGGCAUCGAUGAAGAACGCAGCGAAAUGCGAUAAGUAAUGUGAAUUGCAGAAUUCAGUGAAUCAUCGAAUCUUUGAACGCACAUUGCGCCCGCCAGUAUUCUGGCGGGCAUGCCUGUUCGAGCGUCAUUUCAACCCUCAAGCCCUAGGGCUUGGUGUUGGGGAUCGGCGAUAAUCGCCGUCCCCCAAAUCUAGUGGCGGUCUCGCUGUAGCCUCCAUUGCGUAAUAGCUAACACCUCGCAACUGGAACACGGCGCGGACAAGAAAAUUAAACCCCCCAACUUCUGAAUGUUGACCUCGGAUCAGGUAAGAAUACCCGCUGAACUUA
rnacentral:rRNA from 1 species